rnacentral:misc_RNA from 1 species
GUAACUGUGGAAAGAUGCCCCAAUAUGAGGACAUUCUCUGCUGGAGUGUUGAGCACACCAAAGCUGCAGUGUGUACAAUUGAGAGAAAUUCAUUUUCAGAAAUGGCUUUGGGAGGGCGACCUUAAUACCACCAUACGGCAGUUGUAUACGGAAAUGGAUGGAUUUAAUGGCAUUAAGAAAUUUAUACUCUCUAAAUUUCCCCACAUAAAGGAAAAAUGGCACACCCAACUUCCUUUGAAGCUCCUAGACGGGUUAAGUGAAUUGGUGGUGGACAAUUGUGAGUAUUUCUCGAAAGCCUUAUCAUCAAAUCAACUCCAGUUCUUGAACCGUUUGGAGGUGCUGAUUGUAGAAAAAUGCAGCUCACUAGAAGGAAUAUUUGAUUUGGAAGGGAUGAAUGC